rnacentral:rRNA from 1 species
CGGGACGGGUGAGUAACGCGUGGGUAACCUACCCUGUACACACGGAUAACAUACCGAAAGGUAAUGCUAAUACGGGAUAAUAUAUUUGAGAGGCAUCUCUUGAAUAUCAAAGGUGAGCCAGUACAGGAUGGACCCGCGUCUGAUUAGCUAGUUGGUAAGGUAACGGCUUACCAAGGCGACGAUCAGUAGCCGACCUGAGAGGGUGAUCGGCCACAUUGGAACUGAGACACGGUCCAG